rnacentral:rRNA from 1 species
UACAGAGGGGGCAAGCGUUGUUCGGAAUUACUGGGCGUAAAGCGCACGUAGGCGGACUAUUAAGUCAGGGGUGAAAUCCCGGGGCUCAACCCCGGAACUGCCUUUGAUACUGGUAGUCUCGAGUCCGAGAGAGGUGAGUGGAAUUCCGAGUGUAGAGGUGAAAUUCGUAGAUAUUCGGAGGAACACCAGUGGCGAAGGCGGCUCACUGGCUCGGUACUGACGCUGAGGUGCGAAAGCGUGGGGAGCAAACAGG